rnacentral:rRNA from 1 species
GUGGGGAAUAUUGCGCAAUGGGGGCAACCCUGACGCAGCAACGCCGCGUGAGCGAUGAAGGUUUUCGGAUCGUAAAGCUCUGUUCUGAGGGAAGAUAAUGACGGUACCUCAGGAGAAAGCCCCGGCUAACUACGUGCCAGCAGCCGCGGUAAUACGUAGGGGGCAAGCGUUGUCCGGAUUCACUGGGCGUAAAGAGCACGUAGGCGGUUAAUUAAGUCAGGUGUGAAAGUUUUCGGCUCAACCGGAAAAGUGCACUUGAAACUGGAUAACUUGAGUAUCGGAGAGGUAAGCGGAAUUCCUAGUGUAGCGGUGAAAUGCGUAGAGAUUAGGAAGAACACCGGUGGCGAAGGCGGCUUACUGGACGAUAACUGACGCUGAGGUGCGAAAGCGUGGGGAGCGAACAGGA